GGACUACCCGGGUAUCUAAUCCUGUUUGCUACCCACGCUUUCGUGCCUCAGCGUCAGUCACGGUCCAGCAAGCCGUCUGCACCACGGGUGUUCCUCCAGAUAUCUACGCAUUUCACCGCUACACCUGGAAUUCCGCUUGCCUCUCCCGCACUCCAGCGAACCAGUUUCCGGCGCACCCUCCCGGUUGAGCCGGGAGAUUUCACACCAGACUUGGUCCACCGCCUACGCACGCUUUACGCCCAGUAACUCCGAACAACGCUCGCUGCCUACGUAUUACCGCGGCUGCUGACAC
rnacentral:misc_RNA from 1 species